CUAAGAAGUGUUGCAUGAACUAAAGGAAAUGGCAGACUGACCUAAGUUACUGACCUGCUUAAAACACUGAAGUGGUUCAGAAAUAGACAGAUGUCUUCAGCCUAGGAAAUAAAUGACCAAGGAGUCAUGCGUGAGGAGUCAACACAAGUAUAACAGAUGCAUUCUGGAACCUUGGGAGAGA